rnacentral:rRNA from 1 species
AACGAACGCUGGCGGCAGGCCUAACACAUGCAAGUCGAGCGCCCCGCACGGGGAGCGGCAGACGGGUGAGUAACGCGUGGGAAUCUACCCAUCUCUACGGAUUAACGCAGGGAAACGCGAGUUAAUACCGUAUACGUCUGUCGGGAGAAAGAUUUAUCGGUGAUGGAUGUGCCCGCGUUGGUUUAGCUAGUUGGUGGGGUAAAGGCCUACCAAGGCGACGAUCCAUAGCUGGUCUGAGAGGAGGCUCAGCCACACUGGGACUGAGACACGGCCCAGACGCCUACGGGAGGCAGCAGUGGGGAAUAUUGGACGAUGGGCGCAAGCCUGAUCCGGCCAUGCCGCGUGAGUGAUGAAGGCCCUAGGGUUGUAAAGCUCUUUCACCGGUGAAGAUAAUGACGGUAACCGGAGAAGAAGCCCCGGCUAACUUCGUGCCAGCCGCCGCAGUAAUAC